CCUACGGGAGGCAGCAGUAGGGAAUAUUGGACAAUGGGCGCAAGCCUGAUCCAGCCAUCCCGCGUGAAGGAUUAAGGCCUCUGGGUUGUAAACUUCUUUUCUCUGGGAAUAGGUACCAGAGGAAUAAGCACCGGCUAACUCCGUGCCAGCAGCCGCGGUAAUACGGAGGGUGCAAGCGUUAUCCGGAUUCACUGGGUUUAAAGGGAGCGUAGGUGGCUUUGUAAGUCAGUGGUGAAAUAUUGCGGCUCAACCGCAAAACUGCCAUUGAUACUGCUUAGCUUGAAUCACGUCGAGGUGGAUGGAAUAAUACAUGUAGCGGUGAAAUGCUUAGAUAUGUAUUAGAACACCGAUUGCGAAGGCAGUUCACUAGCGGUAUUGACACUGAGGCUCGAAAGCGUGGGGAUCAAACAGGAUUAGAUACCCUUGUAGUC
rnacentral:rRNA from 1 species